AUACGUAGGGGGCAAGCGUUACCCGGAUUUACUGGGCGUAAAGAGCAUGUAGGCGGCUUGGCAAGUCGGUUGUGAAAGCCCGGGGCCCAACCCCGGAAUUGCAGCCGAAACUGCCUAGCUAGAGUCCCGGAGAGGAAGGAAGAAUUCCCGGUGUAGGGGUGAAAUCCGUAGAUAUCGGGAGGAAUACCAGUGGCGAAGGCGGCCUUCUGGACGGUGACUGACGCUGAGAUGCGAAAGCGUGGGGAGCAAACAGGAUUAGAUACCCGUGUAGUCC
rnacentral:rRNA from 1 species